AUGCAGUUCUUCACCGUUCCUCCGGUCAUGCUGCAUCUGUUCCUGCUGCUCUUCUUGGCCUCUCCCGCUACCGCAUGCACCGAGCAGGAGAAGCGCAACCUCCUCCAGUUCCUUGCCGGGCUAUCGCAAGAAGCGGCUCAUGUCCUCUGCAAGCAUCAUGUCCUCUACAACUCCUUCUCUUGUGGCCUUCCUCCGGAGCUCAUGUCCUCUGCAAGCACCAUCGUCCUUGACGUCAGCUUCAGCCAGCUAAAUGGACCGCUGCCCGAGCUGCCAUCUUUGGUCACCGCCGACAGUGGUGACAGGCCUCUGCAGGUACUCAACAUCUCAAGCAACCAAUUCAGCUCAGAAUUUCCAUCAGCCAUAUGGAAGAAGACGAAGAAUCUGAUCGUGCUCAACGCCAGCAACAACAGCUUCACUGGGCACAUACCAUCUUCUCUUUGCCUUGGUCGCCAUCUUUGGCUUUGCUUGACCUCUGUUACAACCGAUUGA
rnacentral:rRNA from 1 species